CAGGUUGAACAACAUAUCACUAUAAUUAACAUUUUAUCACCUGUUUCUAGUAUUGCCCUGUACCUGUGAUGUGUUCGUGUAUGCUGGUCAACCACGCGUGACCACAUCAGUGCAGUCAGUGUGAGCUCUUUUGGUAGCCAUAGCUACAAUACAAACACCCAAGCUAUCUUUAAACUUUGACCCUUGUCUCUUUCUCUCCCAUUGGAUAAUUAACACUCACAUGUAUCUGCAUGCUUUCUUUGGACUGACAAGACAGGACAGAAUUAUUUAGUAUUUGAAGAAACAAGUUCAGAUAAGAGAGAAAUAGUAGAAGUUUAAUUUAAAGGUUUCCCCAGUUGUUAUGGAAUAUAUCAACACAAUGCCUACGUGUAAUUCAUAUGGUAUGUUAAGCUACAGGUUAAGUCUAAUAUUUAUAUAUUUGUAAUUUUAAAUAUACUCUUGUAAUUUAUAUCCUUUCUUUCAUAAACUCAUUAAUGAUAAAGCUUUAUUACGUCAAAUAAUAAUUAUAAUUACAAUCAUUUAAAUAACCCUAUUUACUAUAAAUUAUCUCCCCUUUGCUAUAAUCAAUGAUUAUAAUUGGUGGUCACGAAAUGAUUAUUAUAUAUAUAUAUAUACAUGUAUGUUAACAUGAUUAAUAAUCGUGAUGACAGUAUUUAGGAUAAAGAGGAUGAUGAUUCAUAAUCAUCAGAAUGAUAAAUAAUGAUUAAUGACGGUUUUCUAUGAUUUGCAAUGUGUUUCAUUAAUAUAUGCCUGAAUGUUUGUUUUACCUCGAUAGGGAUAUAUUUGUAUUGUUUUUACCAUAUUGUUAACGUUUGUGUUUUUAAUCCUUGCAGGGUGUGUCUUGUGUAUUAUGUUUACAUGAAUAAAAGAUGAUGCCCUAACCCGUA